rnacentral:rRNA from 1 species
CCUACGGGAGGCAGCAGUGGGGAAUAUUGCACAAUGGGGGAAACCCUGAUGCAGCGACGCCGCGUGAGUGAAGAAGUAUUUCGGUAUGUAAAGCUCUAUCAGCAGGGAAGAAAUAAAGUCCUUCGGACUUUGGACGGUACCUGACUAAGAAGCCCCGGCUAAAUACGUGCCAGUAGCCGCGGUAAUACGUAGGGGGCAAGCGUUAUCCGGAUUGACUGGGUGUAAAGGGAGCGUAGACGGCAGCGCAAGUCUGGAGUGAAAUCCCAUGGCUUAACCAUGGAACUGCUUUGGAAACUGUGCAGCUGGAGUGCAGGAGAGGUAAGCGGAAUUCCUAGUGUAGCGGUGAAAUGCGUAGAUAUUAGGAGGAACACCAGUGGCGAAGGCGGCUUACUGGACUGUAACUGACGUUGAGGCUCGAAAGCGUGGGGAGCAAACAGGAUUAGAUACCCUUGUAGUC